CACACACACACACAUAGUCAAAUACUCAUACAUAUAAAAUAAAGCAUAAAUAAUCUUUUAAAAGUCAGGCAUGGCUGCAUGUAGCUGUAAUCUCAGAGCCAUAGAGGAUAGAGACAGGAGGGGCUCUGAGACUUGCUGGCCAGCAGUUUAGGAUAGAUUCUUUGAGAGACUGUGUCUUAAGGGAAGAGAUAAUGGGUGAUAGUGCAGGACAUCAAGCCUCUUCCUGUGCUUACCACAUAUGCAAAGGCAUGUGUACCUCAAUAGCACACAAACACACACACCCAUUUUUAUUUGUUUCUCUAGUUCAACUUGGCAUGAUCAGAGAAUCCACAGAUUAAAGGCCCUCCACCAAUCAUUUACUAAUCCUGCAGAUUCAUUGUGAAAAGCAAAGCAAUGCAGUAAAUUUAUAAGCAAAAAAAGAAUGGAGGUGGGUAUGGUGGGUACUGCCUGUAAUCCCAGUAUUUGUAGGAGGUUGAGAUAGGAGGAUUGCCAAGAGUUCAAGGCUAACCUGAACUGCAGAGUGAAUUCGUGGCUACCUGGGCUAUAAAAAUGUCUCAAAAAAACUAAAAAAAGAAAUUAAACUGGAGCACUUGCCUUAAAUCUUCCCUCUGACCUGUCUCUGAGCAUCAGAGCACCUUAUGCCAUCCUGGGGAGGCAAGUGGGAAUAGAAAUGUCUGGGGAUGAAGUCCCUGUGUGGACAGGAUGCUGUGGGGACCAGUCAGAGGGGAAUGGGGAUGAGCUGUCUAGCAGGGAGCCAUACUUUGCCACCCAGGACUACUUUUUCUUAAAGUAUAUUAGUCCUUCAAACAAAAAUUAUUCGUGAGUGCCUGUAGAGCAUGUACAGAUGUGAUAUGUCUUCUGCAUGCUAAAAAUGGAAACACAAAACCUCCCAGAGAACCAAACGCCUCAUCUUUGCAGAAGUUAGGAGACAAAAACACACACCAGCUGCUUAAAUGUGUAGAUAGAUUUUAAAGUGCUUGUUUAUUAGGGGCUUUUGAAUUUGGUAAGGAUAGGCAUAUCUCAAAAAUCAGAGGGAAAAAAGGCGGCAAAUAUUUUGAGCGUUGAAAUGAUAGGGCUUAGCUGUAUUGGCCACAGAGUAAAAAGAGAUUAUUAGAUUCCAUGCUUCCUCAUGGGUUAGGUUUCGUCAUGCUGGAAAUCUAAUGCUGCCUGCAUACUUGGAAGCAAAACUGUCUAUAGAGCAGAAGAAUCCUUAGCAUGAUCUGGAAAUUAAGAGAUCUGAGCUGUGGCUUGAGUCCCUCGCAUGACUGCGACCACGAUACAUAGCUUAAAUUCAUCAGCUUCCAAUUCCUUUCUCUGGAGUUAGGGGAUGGGUUUUCAAAUGUGUCCAAAAUAUGAAUCCAUUCCUGGGAAUAAAUGGAAAAAAAAAA